UCACCACAUUUGUCACCCUCUCACUCACAGCUAGUGACACGACACAGCCUGAGAACUUCUGGUUUUUCCUGUCACUCUCCAGUGCUACAAGGAAUGACCUGAAUCUUGAAAUAAAUGCAACAGAGGGGACCAAACCCCUGAGUCCCACUGAGCACACAUUCCCUACACAUCUACACCAAAGCUCAUUCAAAGGAGGUGCACAACUCUCAGACAGAAAAGCAGCACAUUCCACACCCAAGCCUGGAGGGUAGUGACCAAGCGAAGCACCACCUUUAGGAACCCUUGCCACGUCCUCUGAAGGAGCCAGGGAAGCAGAGCAGUGCACACCAUUUCAGAGCAGCGUUCUGGCCUGUUUCUGCUCACUGUAAUUGCUUUAACAGCACCCGAGUUCCCUGGCACUAACUUAUGGAAUGACUGAAUGAACAAGUUGGCUUGAAGAACCCUAAUCCAAGAAAGUACCCUUCUCUCAAACACCAGUCCCUGCACAAACUAAGAAUUAAGCAGCUGCAGUGGAUGUGAGGAUGUGGAAAUGCGUGGUGCUUUCAGAAGCCUCUGCCAGUGCAGUGUCCGUGUGUUUGGCACUGCUGUCUGCAGCCACUGCUGCCUGUCCACACGGAUAUUCCUCCUGCAGCCUGCUCCCCUAAUUGCAGCUGGCAUAGCUGCACAACACCACGGAUUCCUCGGCUCCCCAGGGAACGGGAAGGAUCUCCAUGGAAACAGACAGUAGCACUUGUUCUUUUGAUAGUAUUCUGACAUGGCUGUAAUAAAACUUCAUUUAUGACAAUA